rnacentral:rRNA from 1 species
UACGGAGGGAGCUAGCGUUGUUCGGAAUUACUGGGCGUAAAGCGCGCGUAGGCGGCUUUGUAAGUUAGAGGUGAAAGCCCGGAGCUCAACUCCGGAACUGCCUUUAAAACUGCAUCGCUUGAAUCCAGGAGAGGUGAGUGGAAUUCCGAGUGUAGAGGUGAAAUUCGUAGAUAUUCAGAAGAACACCAGUGGCGAAGGCGGCUCACUGGACUGGUAUUGACGCUGAGGUGCGAAAGCGUGGGGAGCAAACAGG